rnacentral:piRNA from 1 species
UGCUUUUCCUUCAGGCCUCUGCUGUC